CUACGGGGCGCUCCAGUGAGGAAUAUUGCACAAUGGGGGGAACCCUGAUGCAGCAACGCCGCGUGGAGGAUGACGCAUUUCGGUGUGUAAACUCCUUUUAUAUGUCAAGAAAACGACGGUAGCAUAUGAAUAAGCACCGGCUAACUCCGUGCCAGCAGUCGCGGUAAUGCGGAGGGUGCAAGCGUUACUCGGAAUCACUGGGCGUAAAGGACGCGUAGGCGGGUUGGAAAGUCAGGUGUGAAAUCCUACAGCUUAACUGUAGAACUGCACUUGAAACUUCUAAUCUAGAGUAUGGGAGGGGGAGAUGGAAUUAGUGGUGUAGGGGUAAAAUCCGUAGAUAUCACUAGGAAUACCUAAAGCGAAGGCGAUCUCCUGGAACAUUACUGACGCUAAGGCGUGAAAGCGUGGGGAGCAAACAGGAUUAGAUACCCGCGUAGUC
rnacentral:rRNA from 1 species